rnacentral:rRNA from 1 species
GGGUUGUGAGGUUAAGCGACUAAGCGUACACGGUGGAUGCCCUGGCAGUCAGAGGCGAUGAAGGACGUGCUAAUCUGCGAUAAGCGUCGGUAAGGUGAUAUGAACCGUUAUAACCGGCGAUUUCCGAAUGGGGAAACCCAGUGUGWUUCGACACACUAUCAUUAACUGAAUCCAUAGGUUAAUGAGGCGAACCGGGGGAACUGAAACAUCUAAGUACCCCGAGGAAAAGAAAUCAACCGAGAUUCCCCCAGUAGCGGCGAGCGAACGGGGAGGAGCCCAGAGCCUGAAUCAGUGUGUGUGUUAGUGGAAGCGUCUGGAAAGGCGCGCGAUACAGGGUGACAGCCCCGUACACAAAAAUGCACAUAUUGUGAGCUCGAUGAGUAGGGCGGGACACGUGGUAUCCUGUCUGAAUAUGGGGGGACCAUCCUCCAAGGCUAAAUACUCCUGACUGACCGAUAGUGAACCAGUACCGUGAGGGAAAGGCGAAAAGAACCCCGGCGAGGGGAGUGAAAAAGAACCUGAAACCGUGUACGUACAAGCAGUGGGAGCCUCUUUUAUGGGGUGACUGCGUACCUUUUGUAUAAUGGGUCAGCGACUUAUAUUCUGUAGCAAGGUUAACCGAAUAGGGGAGCCGAAGGGAAACCGAGUCUUAACUGGGCGUUAAGUUGCAGGGUAUAGACCCGAAACCCGGUGAUCUAGCCAUGGGCAGGUUGAAGGUUGGGUAACACUAACUGGAGGACCGAACCGACUAAUGUUGAAAAAUUAGCGGAUGACUUGUGGCUGGGGGUGAAAGGCCAAUCAAACCGGGAGAUAGCUGGUUCUCCCCGAAAGCUAUUUAGGUAGCGCCUCGUGAAYUCAUCUCCGGGGGUAGAGCACUGUUUCGGCAAGGGGGUCAUCCCGACUUACCAACCCGAUGCAAACUGCGAAUACCGGAGAAUGUUAUCACGGGAGACACACGGCGGGUGCUAACGUCCGUCGUGAAGAGGGAAACAACCCAGACCGCCAGCUAAGGUCCCAAAGUCAUGGUUAAGUGGGAAACGAUGUGGGAAGGCCCAGACAGCCAGGAUGUUGGCUUAGAAGCAGCCAUCAUUUAAAGAAAGCGUAAUAGCUCACUGGUCGAGUCGGCCUGCGCGGAAGAUGUAACGGGGCUAAACCAUGCACCGAAGCUGCGGCAGCGACACUAUGUGUUGUUGGGUAGGGGAGCGUUCUGUAAGCCUGUGAAGGUGURCUGUGAGGYAUGCUGGAGGUAUCAGAAGUGCGAAUGCUGACAUAAGUAACGAUAAAGCGGGUGAAAAGCCCGCUCGCCGGAAGACCAAGGGUUCCUGUCCAACGUUAAUCGGGGCAGGGUGAGUCGACCCCUAAGGCGAGGCCGAAAGGCGUAGUCGAUGGGAAACAGGUUAAUAUUCCUGUACUUGGUGUUACUGCGAAGGGGGGACGGAGAAGGCUAUGUUGGCCGGGCGACGGUUGUCCCGGUUUAAGCGUGUAGGCUGGUUUUCCAGGCAAAUCCGGAAAAUCAAGGCUGAGGCGUGAUGACGAGGCACUACGGUGCUGAAGCAACAAAUGCCCUGCUUCCAGGAAAAGCCUCUAAGCAUCAGGUAACAUCAAAUCGUACCCCAAACCGACACAGGUGGUCAGGUAGAGAAUACCAAGGCGCUUGAGAGAACUCGGGUGAAGGAACUAGGCAAAAUGGUGCCGUAACUUCGGGAGAAGGCACGCUGAUAUGUAGGUGAAGUCCCUCGCGGAUGGAGCUGAAAUCAGUCGAAGAUACCAGCUGGCUGCAACUGUUUAUUAAAAACACAGCACUGUGCAAACACGAAAGUGGACGUAUACGGUGUGACGCCUGCCCGGUGCCGGAAGGUUAAUUGAUGGGGUUAGCGCAAGCGAAGCUCUUGAUCGAAGCCCCGGUAAACGGCGGCCGUAACUAUAACGGUCCUAAGGUAGCGAAAUUCCUUGUCGGGUAAGUUCCGACCUGCACGAAUGGCGUAAUGAUGGCCAGGCUGUCUCCACCCGAGACUCAGUGAAAUUGAACUCGCUGUGAAGAUGCAGUGUACCCGCGGCAAGACGGAAAGACCCCGUGAACCUUUACUAUAGCUUGACACUGAACAUUGAGCCUUGAUGUGUAGGAUAGGUGGGAGGCUUWGAAGUGUGGACGCCAGUCUGCAUGGAGCCGACCUUGAAAUACCACCCUUUAAUGUUUGAUGUUCUAACGUUGACCCGUGAUCCGGGUUGCGGACAGUGUCUGGUGGGUAGUUUGACUGGGGCGGUCUCCUCCUAAAGAGUAACGGAGGAGCACGAAGGUUGGCUAAUCCUGGUCGGACAUCAGGAGGUUAGUGCAAUGGCAUAAGCCAGCUUGACUGCGAGCGUGACGGYGCGAGCAGGUGCGAAAGCAGGUCAUAGUGAUCCGGUGGUUCUGAAUGGAAGGGCCAUCGCUCAACGGAUAAAAGGUACUCCGGGGAUAACAGGCUGAUACCGCCCAAGAGUUCAUAUCGACGGCGGUGUUUGGCACCUCGAUGUCGGCUCAUCACAUCCUGGGGCUGAAGUAGGUCCCAAGGGUAUGGCUGUUCGCCAUUUAAAGUGGUACGCGAGCUGGGUUUAGAACGUCGUGAGACAGUUCGGUCCCUAUCUGCCGUGGGCGCUGGAGAACUGAGGGGGGCUGCUCCUAGUACGAGAGGACCGGAGUGGACGCAUCACUGGUGUUCGGGUUGUCAUGCCAAUGGCACUGCCCGGUAGCUAAAUGCGGAAGAGAUAAGUGCUGAAAGCAUCUAAGCACGAAACUUGCCCCGAGAUGAGUUCUCCCUGACYCYUURAGRGUCCUGAAGGAACGUUGAAGACGACGACGUUGAUAGGCCGGGUGUGUAAGCGCAGCGAUGCGUUGAGCUAACCGGUACUAAUGAACCGUGAGGCUUAACCUUACAACGCCGAAGCUGUU